CAUGAUUUCAUUUUCUUUGGUUUAUGAAUUGGUUUUGCUUAUUAUGAAUUUUGUUGAUUGUUGAUUGUUACUAUGAUGAUGUUGGCUUGUUCUGCCAUUAGUUACUUUGUUGAUUGAAUUUUUUUCUUUAAUGAGAUUUUGUUCUGAGCAAUGUUAGGAGAAAAUAGUUCUGCUUUGUCAUCAGUUCCUACUCUGUCAUCUGCUGCUGUUCCGUGCUCUCCCUCCGCUUGCGUCCACUACGCCGUCCCCCACCUCGUCCGCUGAGGUUCGGUUACGCAUGUAAAGUGGCUGGGAAUUCUAAGUUGAUUCUCUCAAUGGCCUGAAUGACUCAAGUAAAAUUGCUGCAUUUGAUUUUGAUGGCCUGAAUGACUCAAGUAAAAAUCUUAGAAUUCUGGAGAAGAUUGCCCAAAUAUUCAAAGAGGAUUUGAAGUUUGGUGGAGAAGAGCUUUCUGGAAGCGGAAUGGAGAG